GGGGAGCGAAAUUAUAGUAGCGAAGUCGUUGAUGUCACGCUGCCGAGAAAAGCUUCUAGCGAAUAAUCAACUGCCCGUACCGCAAACCGACACAGGUAGUCGAGGAGAGUAUCCUAAGGUGAGCGAGCGAACUCUCGUUAAGGAACUCGGCAAAAUGACCCCGUAACUUCGGGAGAAGGGGUGCUGAUCGCAAGAUCAGCCGCAGUGAAAAGGCCCAGGCGACUGUUUAUCAAAAACACAGGUUUCUGCAAAAUCGUAAGAUGAAGUAUAGGGGCUGACGCCUGCCCGGUGCUGGAAGGUUAAAAGGAAGAGUUAGCUUCGGCGAAGCCCUGAAUUGAAGCCCCAGUAAACGGCGGCCGUAACUAUAACGGUCCUAAGGUAGCGAAAUUCCUUGUCGGGUAAGUUCCGACCCGCACGAAAGGCGUAACGAUCUGGGCACUGUCUCAACGAGAGACUCGGUGAAAUUGAAUUGCCUGUGAAGAUGCAGGCUACCCGCGACAGGACGGAAAGACCCCAUGGAGCUUUACUGUAGCUUGAUAUUGAGUGCUUGUACUGCUUGUACAGGAUAGGUAGGAGCCAUAGAAGCCAGGACGCUAGUUUUGGCAGAGGCGUUGGUGGGAUACUACCCUUGCAUUAUGAUCACUCUAACCCGCACCUCUGAUCGAGGUGGGAGACAGUGUCAGGUGGGCAGUUUGACUGGGGCGGUCGCCUCCCAAAAGAUAACGGAGGCGCCCAAAGGUUCGCUCAGAAUGGUUGGAAAUCAUUCGCAGAGUGUAAAGGCACAAGCGAGCUUGACUGCGAGACAGACAGGUCGAGCAGGGACGAAAGUCGGGCUUAGUGAUCCGGUGGUUCCGCAUGGAAGGGCCAUCGCUCAACGGAUAAAAGCUACCCUGGGGAUAACAGGCUUAUCUCCCCCAAGAGUCCACAUCGACGGGGAGGUUUGGCACCUCGAUGUCGGCUCAUCGCAUCCUGGGGCUGUAGUCGGUCCCAAGGGUUGGGCUGUUCGCCCAUUAAAGCGGUACGCGAGCUGGGUUCAGAACGUCGUGAGACAGUUCGGUCCCUAUCCGUCGCGGGCGUAGGAAAUUUGAGAGGACCUGUCCUUAGUACGAGAGGACCGGGAUGGACAUACCGCUGGUGUACCAGUUGUUCCGCCAGGAGCAUCGCUGGGUAGCUAUGUAUGGAUGAGAUAAACGCUGAAAGCAUCUAAGCGUGAAACUCGCCUCAAGAUGAGAUUUCCCAUUCCUUAUGGAAGUAAGACCCCUCAGAGAUGAUGAGGUAGAUAGGAUGGAAGUGGAAGUGCCGCGAGGCAUGGAGCGGACCAUUACUAAUCGGUCGAGGACUUAACCAAGUU
rnacentral:rRNA from 1 species